UUAGUAGCCUAGUGGACAUGGCAUCUGCCCGGUAAGCGGAACACUGUGGGUUCGAUUCCCAUCCCUGGACAC